rnacentral:rRNA from 1 species
GUGCGAGACCGAUAGCGAACAAGUACCGUGAGGGAAAGAUGAAAAGAACUUUGAAAAGAGAGUUAAAGAGUACCUGAAACUGUUGAAAGGGAACCGUAUCGUUUCUAGUGUUUAUCUCAUGCAUAUUUCAUUGGCGGUUGCAAAAUUGUUGGUGCCCUGUGUAUGAGUGUGACGUCAGAGUCAGUUUAAGCUGCGGGAGAUGGGUAGAGAGGAGGUGAUCCGCUUGCGGAAGUUACAGCUUUCUGCCUAGUAGCCGUGGUUGAGACUGAGGUGCCUAC